rnacentral:pre_miRNA from 1 species
GAGACACCCUUCUGGGGCAAGACUUGCUUCAGUGGGGCUUUGGUGCUCACUGAGUCUUGCCCCCUGAGUGUGUCCCU